rnacentral:lncRNA from 1 species
AUGCCCAAGCUGUGCCGUGUGGUAAUUCCUCAUGUCGCCGUACACGGAGCGGUAAUCGUGGAAGGAGCUCCCGGCGGGAUGCAUGAUCUGCACCCCGUGUGGGACCACCACGGGCUGUGUCAGGGGCAGCCCAGGCAGCUGGCUGCCCGAGGGCACACUGAGCAGCCGCGGCUCGCUGUGGGGAGAGUGGGCCAUCUUGCCCUCCGAGGAUUUGGGAGUCUCUUUCCCGGGCUGCGGGGUCUUACUGGCCGGGGGAGUUUUGACGGCCCCUUCGGGCGUGCGGGACUGUCGCGUUUCCGAGUGGUGCUCGCCCACGGCAGCCAUGUGCGGGUGCAUGAUCAUCCUGACGUCCCGCGGGACGCUGUACUGCUCCAGCCGCAGGCUGCCGGGGUGCAUGCGGUAGUCGGGCUGCAUCACCAGCACGUCGGACUGCACCGGGGCUGGCCCGCGGCACACCGCCGUGUGGUGGAAGUGCAGCUCCUCCUCGGGGGGAUGCUGGGAGGACAGCGGGGGCAUGACGAUGUCUCGGAUGGGUGCUGGCUGGGGCGUGCUGGAUCGCUGGGGUUUCAUCUCCAUCUGGGGUUGCAGAGCAGCUCGGGGGGAGUGCAGCGCUUCCGGGCGGAUGCCGUAGGGAAUGCCGGAGAGAGGAGGGGUGUUCAUCCUCACCUCACCUUGGGACAGAUGGCCCAGGGACACAGUCUGUGUUACACUGUGGGGGGGCAUGAUAACAGAUUGCUCGGGAUGCAUGCUGGAUAUGUACUGAGGAACGGGAAUUCCCGGCGCCAGCAUGACCGGGGUGCUGCUGGACAAAGCCGGAGACGAGGUACUGCCGGGAUGACAGGCGCGGGGGAACGGCGACGGCGAGUGCCCGCUGGUGCGCGGCGAGUGCGGCUCCUGUUUGGUGACCCCCAGGUGGGAGAUGGCCCGGUCAGUCGGGGUGCUGGGGCCCGAGCUGACGUGGUUUGCUUCCGAGUGCAUCUUCCCAGAGAGGGAAGGGUGGUGAGGACUAACCCCAGGACUCAGGCUGGAGGGUUGCAGAGUCUUUGUCUCCACUUUCAGAGCAGCUGGGUCAGACAGUUUUUUGUUCACGACCAUCUGGUUAUGGACCAGCACGGGUGGAGUGUUUACGGUCUGCGUCAGGACCUUGCCGGGCUGCGACGCCGGGGUCUGGACAGCGAGGUGGGACGAGUCAGGCUUGUCCAGCGCGGCAGCGCGCUCCUGUUUGACGGAGGAGAUAACGGGCGAGGUGUUGUAGGGCUGUGCUCCAAGUACCAACGAAGAAUGGGUGGAAACAGUCCCAUAGCCCGCCGAGGUCUGGGAGCCCUUCGGUGCUGGCUGGGAUGGCGUGAUAGGCUCCUGUUUAAUCUGAGACUUGGAUACAGACUGCUGGAACUCAAUGUCCACAGCGCUGGCUGGGGGAAUCUGGCUGAUCUUGGCACUGAUUCGCUGAGGACCUUCUGUCUUCUGCCCUGA